UACGUAGGGUGCGAGCGUUGUCCGGAAUUACUGGGCGUAAAGAGUUCGUAGGCGGUUUGUCGCGUCGUUUGUGAAAAACCCGGGGCUCAACUUCGGGCUUUGCAGGCGAUACGGGCAGACUUGAGUGUUUCAGGGGAGACUGGAAUUCCUAGUGUAGCGGUGAAAUGCGCAGAUAUCAGGAGGAACACCGGUGGCGAAGGCGGGUCUCUGGGAAACAACUGACGCUGAGGAACGAAAGCGUGGGUAGCAAACAGG
rnacentral:rRNA from 1 species